rnacentral:lncRNA from 1 species
CUUAGAACACAGGAUGUCAGCGCCAUCUUGUAACGGCGAAUGUGAGGGCGGCUACCCACAGUAAGGAGACUCCAAACUGCUGAUUGGGCAGGAUGUGCCAUGGUGCCAUGGGCUUGGGAGCUGUUGCAGGACUCUUCUGUGUGGAUUUGAGGAAGUCAUCAUACUUGAGCACUUGGCAAGGGAUCCCCAACUGUUCCAGCUUCACGUGCUUGCUCAACUCACUCAGUGCCAUCUGCACAGCAAUGCUCACAAGCCUGGGCCAGAAGCCAUUGCUAGGCUGGACCACUGGAUUCCUCUCUGUCAUGGCCACAGAGUCCGACAUCUACCUGUGUACUGAAGCCAAAGCACCACGUUCUUUACCUGAUACUAACAGAAAGUCUGAAGCUGCAGUUUGGCCUCUCCUUCCUAAGGAUGUUUGGACAGCUUCAGUUACCUCUGAGUACAAGCAUGAUGCAGUCUGGAAACACUAGCAGGACUUCAUUCUUUCAUGGAUCCAACAUGCACAACCUGCCUCUCCUGGGGAGGCAUGUGCCAAGAGAUGGUCUGCUUCUUGGCUUCAAAGCAUAAGGAACUUCACCAUUCUUAAAACUGGUACUGAGAUGAGGGCUGCUGGAGGCCUUUUGGUUGAUACUUUAUGAAGAGCAUCCUCCAGGAGGAUGCUAUUAAAGUCUUUAUAACAGCAACUAAUGGUAAGGAAAGAGAUUGAGUCAAAAUCUAUCUUCUGUCUCUUCUGGAAACGGAGUGUGCUAAGUAUGGGGCAAUAAUGGUGGAUGGA